AGCGAACGCUGGCGGCAGGCUUAACACAUGCAAGUCGAGCGGGCCCUUCGGGGUCAGCGGCGGACGGGUGAGUAACGCGUGGGAACGUGCCUUCUGGUCUGGAAUAACCCUGGGAAACUAGGGCUAAUACCGGAUACGCCCUUUUGGGGAAAGGUUUACUGCCGGAAGAUCGGCCCGCGUCUGAUUAGCUAGUUGGUGGGAUAACGGCCUACCAAGGCGACGAUCAGUAGCUGGUCUGAGAGGAUGAUCAGCCACACUGGGACUGAGACACGGCCCAGACUCCUACGGGAGGCAGCAGUGGGGAAUAUUGGACAAUGGGCGCAAGCUUGAUCCAGCCAUGCCGCGUGAGUGAUGAAGGCCUUAGGGUUGUAAAGCUCUUUUAUCCGGGACGAUAAUGACGGUACCGGAGGAAUAAGCCCCGGCUAACUUCGUGCCAGCCGCCGCAGUAA
rnacentral:rRNA from 1 species